AGUGAACGCUGGCGGUAGGCCUAACACAUGCAAGUCGAACGGCAGCACAGUAAGAGCUUGCUCUUACGGGUGGCGAGUGGCGGACGGGUGAGGAAUACAUCGGAAUCUACUUUUUCGUGGGGGAUAACGUAGGGAAACUUACGCUAAUACCGCAUACGACCUACGGGUGAAAGCAGGGGAUCUUCGGACCUUGCGCGAUUGAAUGAGCCGAUGUCGGAUUAGCUAGUUGGCGGGGUAAAGGCCCACCAAGGCGACGAUCCGUAGCUGGUGUGAGAGGAUGGUCGGCCACACUGGAACUGAGACACGGUCCAGACUCCUACGGGAGGCAGCAGUGGGGAAUAUUGGACAAUGGGCGCAAGCCUGAUCCAGCCAUACCGCGUGGGUGGAGAAGGCCUUCGGGUUGUAAAGCCCUUUUGUUGGGAAAGAAAAGCAGCAGGUUAAUACCCAGCUGUUCUGACGGUACCCAAAGAAUAAGCACCGGCUAACUUCGUG
rnacentral:rRNA from 1 species